UGGCUUUGUUCCUUUAUUGGGUCCUGGUGCUGCUGGGGCUGAAAGAUGAUAUGUGGGGCUGCUUUUAAAAGGAAACCUGGGGAUUCUGUUUAAUAUUCUCUGUUUGUUGUGUCGUUUCAGGUGUGGUGAGACCCUUUGCGGUAAGGAUCAGCCCCAACUGGUGUGCAGUUCUGGUAGUAAAGGCACCGUAGAUGCAGUGCUUCAGUUCCUCCUGUGCUCCUCAGGGGGAGUGAGUGGAAUGGGGCCGUGUUCCUCCUGCCUUGAUCUUGCUGAGAGUAAGAAGUAACACCAAGGGCUGCUGAAAUAGGAGAAAGCUACGAUUACAGGCUGAGUGUGGGCUACAGCAGAGCCUCUUCUCAGCCCAAGCCAGGGAAAUCAUGCAAGCGGUGAGUGUUUGGGAGUCACAAGGUAAGCUCUCUCUUCCUGGGACUUGUGUAGGGCUGCUGCUUGGCUGCCUCUGUUUCUUCUGGAUCAGUGUGGUGCUGCUGCUGAACCACCUGAGACCAAGGAUGACCCUGGGGUGGCCUCUUCCCUUGAGAAGGAUUUGGUGGGUGCUUCAGCCCCUCCCACUUCCAGCAAUGGGAGUGAGCAGGGUGGGACUAUGUAUUCCUCCCCCUCCUCCCAGCCUCUUUUCCUUAAGUGUAACUUCAGGAGUGUGAUCUUAUUCCCAUCAUGGAGACAUGGUGGGACAGCUUGCACUACUGGAAUGCUGUUGUGGAUGGCUGUGUUCUUUUUAGGAAAGACAGACUGGCAAGGCGGGGGAGUUUCUCUUCCAGUGAGAGAACUGGAAUAUAUUGAGCUCUGCCUAGGGAUGGAUGAAGAAUUAGCGGAGUGCUUGCGUGUGAGGCUCAAGCAGCAGGGAAGGUGCCUGAGGACUGGAGGAUAGCCUGCGUUGCUGUGGCCUUCAAAAAGGGGCAAGAAGUGUGCCCUGCACAACUAGGUGCCAGUCAGCCUCACCUCUGUGGAGCCAUUUCAUCUGGAGAAGGGUGAGGGUUGCAGUGGAGCAUGGGCCUGAAUAUGUGAGUGAUUUCAUUGGGUGGGAUGAAGGAGGGAGGUCAGUGAUUGGGGGGGGGCAAGUGUGUGAGCCUUGCAAUCCAAGGGCUGCACUCCCUGGCAGCCCCUGUAAGGCAGUUCACAGAGCUUUUCCUGCAGGUUCAGGUCUGGGGUGAGGAUUCUGGUGGUGUGACUUUGGUGCCUUGUGAGUUGUGCUCCCCUCAGGUUGGAGUUCAUGGCUGGGUGACAGAAGCACCUUCUGUUUUGAAGUGAAGCUCCAUGGUGGUUUCCUUUGAGCCCUGAAGGUGUGUAGCAGGUGUGGAAUUGGUGGAGUGUGGAGUGCUGCCUGUGGUGCAGCUGCUGUCUGAAGAGGAAGGCCCCUCAUCCUUGGCUGGGAUCUGUCCUCUCCCUGUUGAGGUCUGAAGAAGUGGAGGUGACCCAAGAGAUCAGCAACCUAAAUGGACUGAGAUCAUAAGGAAGGAGGAAAGUGGCUGCUCUCUACGACUUUGUUGCCAGCUACUCUUGGGGGGGAUGAAAGGUCAGUCUGGGAAAAUAAAAAAGGUAAGUACUUAAGAAACCUCCUCUUGUGAGGGGCCUCUAACAAGGCCAAAUUGUUGUGGUGUUUUUUUAUAGUUAGUUUUCUACAUUUAUUUAUCUUGUAGUGUGGAUGAGGUUUAAAUUGUGGUAUUUAAGAUGAUGCCUCUCAAAGUGCCCUGAAUUGAAUCAGUAGGCAGGCAACUUAAAGCAUGAAGAUUUUAAAUUUAAAUAGUAAAAAAAACUAGAUCUCCCUCUUAAGAGAGAUGUCUCUGACUAUCUGUAUCUUCUUGCUGAAGCAAAACUGUAGAGGAGAACUUCUAGGUGUAACUCUGUUCUUCUCAUUUCAACAUGCCCCCAAAAUACUGGAAACAAAGUUUGCUUACCUGCACUGGGAAGUAGGUGGUGAUACAACCGUUUUAUUGAAGAACUAUCACCUUGUUAUGCUUUUUUUGGAAAGACUGUUUCUACCAAAGACAGAAAUGCCCUGUGUUACAGGUAGGAACUAGUAUGCCUAACAACAUCAAUACUAAGAUGGCAUGGCUGGCCUUAGCUAGCUCAAGUUUUUGUGGUGAAGUGGAGACCUGUCUGUUGUCAACUCAAAAUGACACAACACUAAAUCCUUGCUUACUGCAAAAAAAAAAAGUAUGCUCUGGCUAUUUCUGUGCUUGGGACUUAGUCCCUUGCUACUGACCCUCACUUAUUUAUCCCAGAGGAUGAGAUGAGUGAGAAAAAUUACCCCAUCAGCAAUUUAGCAUUACAUGUUCUGUUUUAAAAAAAAUAAAUAAAUAAACUGAAAAGCAAGGCUUUACAUCCAUAACAAAUAUUUUGACAAAAUACCUACUUCAAAACUACAAUGUAUCAGAAUUGCUUGACUUACCAAAUGAAAUAGCUGAGUAUGUUUCUGGUGUUCCUAUUGUUGCAGCUGAAUUGCUGUACAGUAGUGUUGCUUUGCUUGGUAGAGCUUCCCGAGCUUGAAGGCGGGCGCACUGUCCUGAGAGUGGAGCGGCAUUGACUGUCUCUUUAAAAAACUUCUGCUUUCCUUGUUUAAGGUUGGUUCCCUGGGCAUUAUCUCUGGUUCCCAGCAGGGUAACUUGAACCAGAGCUUCUGGGGAAAACCCUUCGUGUCCAAUCUCGACUCAUAAAGCAGCCUGGGUCAGAAUGGACCUGCAACUCUGCGCGCAGCCACCCACAAUGCAAAUGCUCUGUCUGGGAGCAUUGCCUGAAGCUUCCUGAACUCUGUCAGCCUGGGACUGCUGCCCUGGGGAGCCUGUUCCGGUGCCUGAUCACCCUCUGGUGAAGAACCUUGUCAUGCCCUCCAACCUGACCCUCCUCUGACAAGGCUUCACACCAUUCCUGCAGGUCCCAUUGUUGCUGCCUAAGAGCAGAGCUCAGUGCUGCCCCUCUGCUUCCUUUCUGAGGAGCUGUAGGCUGCUGCAAAGCCUCCCCUUGACCUCUUGUGCUUUGGGCUGAAAAAACUGCAGGACCUCAUCAGCUUCCUGAAAAUCUCACCCUUUGGCCCCCUCAGUGUCUUGUAUCAGAGGAUCAUUAAGGUUGGACAAGACUGCAAGAUUGUUUAGUCUGAGCGCCUGCCCUUUACAUGAACAUCUCCAGGGAUGCUGACCCUGUUCCAAUACCUCACUGCUCUUUCUGAGAAGAAACCUGAGCCUCCUCUGACAUAACUUAAGCUGUUCCCUCUCAUCCUAGCACUGGCUACCUGGGAAAAGAAGCUGACUGCUGCCUCUCUGCAGCCUCCUUUCAGGUGGUGAUAGAGAGUGAGUUUUAGCUCAUCUUUAGACACUUACUUUAAGAGUUUUAUUUCUUUUUUUCAUACUGCAUUGCCCAAAACUGCACAGUGCUCAAAGCAAGGCUUCAGAGCUGUGGAGCAAGGCACUCCCGAGAUCUCCCUGUGAAGAUCUCUCUGUGAAGCCUUUCUACUCGGGAGGGGUCAACAUCUCCUCCUAAUGUAGCGCCAUCAGCAAACAUACUUAAUGCACAUUCAAGUCCUGUAUCCAGACCAUUUAUAGAAAUACUAAAGAGAACCAGUCCUGAAACAAAGCCCCGGGGAGCCUAAAUAGCGCCUGUCUGCCAGCCUCUUGCAAUCUCAUUUUUUUCCUAACACUUGGAACCUCUUUUGCAUGGGGCUAAUAAUUUAGUGUUUUGUUUGUUUUAAGAUGUACAAUUAGGAAGGACUGUUUUCUGACACAGUAUUUAGUUUUGGGGUCCUCUUGCCUGACUAGGAUUAUCCUUACCUACUCAAAGGCAUAAUAAUACAUGCUUUGAACUAGACCACAUGCGAAGGCAUCAUCUAGUUUUUGUCAUCCGGGUGCUACCUUUAGCAGCUGGAUGUCGCUUAGCUGUGAUAAACUCAUAGGAACAGUUUAAAAAAAGUAAAGAUAGCAAUUCCUGAAUCAGAGCACAUUAGACAGUUGAAGCUAAUGGACACAUCUCUCUAAGACAGGAACAUAAAAAGAUCCAUCUUUAAUCGGUAAUAAAUUUAUAACUAAUGAGUAAAGGCUUUCUCCCACCCCAAUGUGGAUAUUUUUAACCGCUACAGUCCAAGUCAUUUUAGUAUUCACAUUUUCUGGAUACAGACAUUACUAGGUAUUCUACUCCACUGGUGAAUAGAAGAAAGGAUUUCCUUUCUCAUUUUUUAAAAAUCCUUAUAAAUCAGAAAUGAAAGCCCUAAUCCUUAAUUCACGUAGGCUUGGCGACAACGAACAGCAUUUGACUGCAAGCAGUUUCAAAAAUCUGACCUUUGUUCCUUCUUUGUUUGUACCGAGCACCGAUCCCUAAUCGCACAGCACACGAGGAAGCUCUAACCUUCUCCACUUUCUAUACUCACGUGUGGUAAUUAUGUACAUAGUAAUCUCGCUUCUGCAUCAGCUUGGGUUACUGAGCUGAGAAAAUAAAUCCCUCCCCACAAACCUACACAAUGAAUGUCAAACUAUGGGGAUUUUUUUUAAUUUAAAAAGAAAUAAAAGUAAAAAUAAAAAUAAAGUGUGCUAGGACAACAGUAGGUCUUUUAAACUUCUUUACUGAUAUAGCGAUUCUUAGCGGCUCAUAGAUUCUUAAGUACUUGACACAACAAGAAACAGUGGUAGAAGCGGAAAAGUAAGGAAAGAGGAAGGUUUCAGAUACAGUGUUGCAAAUCUUAUUGCUUAUAGUAUAAGAUAUUUACACUACCUGGACACGCUGGCCUUGAAGAAGUCAGGCAGAACUGUUUCCUGGAGAGAAGUGGAAUCUCUCAUCCUUCCAAACGCAUUUCCCAAGAGACAAGAUCACAAACCAAACAAAAGCACGCGAGGACAGGUCAAAUGAAUUCCAAGGAAGGAAAAUAAGCUUGCUAGGUGGUACUGCUGGGGAAGGCAGCUGUGGAGACAGCCAGGCUGGCGGGCUUUUUUACUGUUUUAACCAGCAUUUGAUAAAAUAAGACAAUCAAACAGAAAAGCGCGUUCAUAAAGCCAUCAUCUGACUCACAGAACCCUCUUCUCAAUCAUUUAUGGUGAGAUAGGAGGUCAAAUCUGAGGUUUUACUUAGAAAAGCUGCAGGAAGAAUUUGCUCGAUUCCGAGAUGGGGCAAUUAUCUACGUCUUAUAAGGAUAUAGCAAAUAAAUUUCUUAAGAACAAA